rnacentral:misc_RNA from 1 species
GAUGAAGAACGUAGCGAAAUGCGAUAAGUAGUGUGAAUUGCAGAAUUCCGUGAAUCAUCGAAUCUUUAAACGCACAUUGCGCCUUCUGGUAUUCCGGAAGGCAUGCCUGUUCGAGAGUCAUUAACAACCGUUUCGAUCCCUUUCUUUCAGAAAUUACAAAGAGGAAAAGGGUUUGGUUAUGGUGGAGGAAGGAAAGGGAGCGUUUAGCCUGUAAAAAAAGAGGCUGUGUUCCGCCUCCCCCCCAAAAUUGUACAGGCGGUCGUGUGCGCCCACGCAUCGAGGUGUUGUAAAAGCUGCCACGGCACUUUUCACCUGUGCAGUGCGAGAUUGGCCAGCCGGUUUAAAAACCCCUCCAAACAAUCAAAGGUUGACCUCGGAUCAGGUAGGGAUACCCGCUGAACUUAAGCAUAUCAAUAAGCGGAGGA